rnacentral:rRNA from 1 species
AGAUUGAACGCUGGCGGCAUGCCUUACACAUGCAAGUCGAACGGUAGAGUAGCAAUACUCGAGAGUGGCGAACGGGUGAGUAAUAUAUCGGAACGUGCCCAGUCGUGGGGGAUAACGUAGAGAAAUUUACGCUAAUACCGCAUACGAUCUAAGGAUGAAAGCGGGGGACUCGCAAGAGCCUCGCGCGAUUGGAGCGGCUGAUAUCAGAUUAGGUUGUGGUAGAGGUAAAAGCUCACCAAGCCGACGAUCUGUAGCUGGUUUGAGAGAACGACCAGCCACACUGGGACUGAGACGACGGCCCAGACUCCGUACGGGAGCAGCAGGUGGGUAAUUUUGGACAAGUGGGACGAAAGCCGU